GGGUCGCUAGCUCAGUUGGUUAGAGCGCAUCCCUGAUAAGGAUGAGGUCGCUGGUUCGAUUCCAGCGCGACCCACCA
rnacentral:tRNA from 2 species